rnacentral:rRNA from 1 species
AGAGUUUGAUCAUGGCUCAGAUUGAACGCUGGCGGCAGGCCUAACACAUGCAAGUCGAGCGGAAACGAGUUAACUGAACCUUCGGGGAACGUUAACGGCGUCGAGCGGCGGACGGGUGAGUAAUGCCUGGGAAAUUGCCCUGAUGUGGGGGAUAACCAUUGGAAACGAUGGCUAAUACCGCAUAAUAGCUUCGGCUCAAAGAGGGGGACCUUCGGGCCUCUCGCGUCAGGAUAUGCCCAGGUGGGAUUAGCUAGUUGGUGAGGUAAUGGCUCACCAAGGCGACGAUCCCUAGCUGGUCUGAGAGGAUGAUCAGCCACACUGGAACUGAGACACGGUCCAGACUCCUACGGGAGGCAGCAGUGGGGAAUAUUGCACAAUGGGCGCAAGCCUGAUGCAGCCAUGCCGCGUGUAUGAAGAAGGCCUUCGGGUUGUAAAGUACUUUCAGCAGUGAGGAAGGUGGUGUCGUUAAUAGCGGCAUCAUUUGACGUUAGCUGCAGAAGAAGCACCGGCUAACUCCGUGCCAGCAGCCGCGGUAAUACGGAGGGUGCGAGCGUUAAUCGGAAUUACUGGGCGUAAAGCGCAUGCAGGUGGUUUGUUAAGUCAGAUGUGAAAGCCCGGGGCUCAACCUCGGAAUUGCAUUUGAAACUGGCAGACUAGAGUACUGUAGAGGGGGGUAGAAUUUCAGGUGUAGCGGUGAAAU